CUGCUCUCUUGUUUAUGUAUUCAUCCGGGUCUCUCUGUCCCCCAUCCUGGUAGCCCCGCCCCUUUUCUCCUGGGACUGGUUGCUAAGGGUUUGGCUUCCUGGGGCA